rnacentral:lncRNA from 1 species
ACAAGAAUUUACGUGGUUCGGUAAUUAAACCUACAUCUACGGAGGCAAGAAAGAAUAAUUGUUUAUUUAACAAUUAAUAGAAUACAAUAUUUGAGUAACGAAUCUCACUUCCCAGAAACCCAAAUAUACCCAGUACUCUCACACUCUGCAGGAAAGAUAAAUUCCCCAGACACACUUCUCUCACUUCUCUCAAAAGCUUAGAAACUUAUAAGCUUAACAAUUUUGGGAUAUUUAGAAUGGAAGAAGUGCCAUCUAUUUAUAGGGAAAAUAAUGGCACUAUUGCACCAACCCCUUUACUAUUCCACCUAACCUAAGCAAAUAGUCAAUGGUGUCCAUUUGGCAAAUUUGACAAAUUUGCCAACUUUCCAUUUUUCUUCAAAUGUUUGGUAACUCUUUGAAAAAUUGCCACAUGCUUGACCAAUUCUCCAAAUUUGAAUCCAACAUUUCGGCUAACCUUGACAAAUUGUUAGCAAAAUGCAAGUGGCUUUCUUAUUUUUCAACAAUUCUCCACCUCGGCGAAGAUUUGUUCAAAUCUAAGCCGACUACCAACGAACCAUCAUCCCCAAAGUGAUCCUUCAAAAAGGAUCCAGAAUGGUUGUGUCGUUUCGACUGCCUACGUACCCAAAAUUUGGGAUCAAGCCAACCGUAGUUCAAAAUUCCCGAAGGACAUAUCUUUAACACAAUCGAAGGAUUUGAAUUAAUUUCAAGCAAUGUUGAAACUUAACUCCAGAAACUACCUUCGUCAACAUAUCUGAUGGAUUAUCUUUAGUAUCGAUCUUUCUCAACAACACAACACCGCUCUCGAUAAUCUCCCUCACAUAAUGAUAUUUCACAUCUAUGUGCUUCGUCCGAGCGUGAUAUGUUUGAUUCUUCGCAAGGAAUAUCGCACUUUGAUUAUCAUAAAAGACCGCAAUGUUCUCCUGGAUUACUCCCAAAUCACCUAACAAGCCUUUCAACCAGAUAGCUUCUUUUACAGCUUCAGUUGCUGCCAUAUACUCUGCUUCCGUAGUGGACAAAGCAAUUGUCGAUUGUAGAAUCGACCUCCAGCUAACCGGACCUCCACCCAAUGUGAAUACGUAGCCCGUUGUUGAUCUUCGCUUGUCAAGGUCUCCAGCGAAAUCAGAAUCACAAUACCCAACACAUUGUUGACCACAAUCCUUCUUGAACAAUAACCCAACAUCAACUGUCCCAUACAGAUAUCGGAGAAUCCACUUUACCGCAAGCCAUUGAUUUUUACCCGGAUUGUGCAUGUAUCUACUAACCAUGCUCACUGCUUGAGAUAUAUCUGGCCUUGUGCAUACCAUAGCAUACAUAAGACUACCCACAGCACUAGCAUAUGGAACACGAGCCAUGUAAUCGCGCUCCUCUUGAGAUCUAGGACAUGAAGAAGAGCUUAAUUUGAAAUGAGGAGCUAGAGGUGUACAUACCGGUUUUGUUUUGUCAUCCAUACCGAAUCUUUCUAGCACUUUCUUCAAAUAAGACUUUUGAGUCAACCAUACGCUUCCAUUUUUCUUGUCUCUACGAAUCUCCAUCCCAAGUAUUCUCUGUGCAUCACCCAAGUCUUUCAUCUCGAACUCAGAAGCCAGCUGCUUCUUUAAUCUUUCGAUCUCAUCUCUAUUCUUCGAAGCUAUAAGCAUAUCGUCGACAUAGAGUAACAAAUAGAUGAAAGCUCCAUCUGAUAGUCUUCUAAAGUAAACACAAUGAUCGUGUUCACUUCUGGUGAAUUUCUGCCCUUGUAUAAAUUGAUCAAAUCUUUUGUACCACUGCCUUGGCGAUUGCUUCAAUCCGUACAAAGAUUUAAUCAACCUACACACAUGAUUCUCAUUUCCAGCAACUUUGAAACCACAAGGCUGAAUCAUAUAGAUUUCCUCCUCCAAAUCUCCAUGUAAGAACGCCGUCUUAACAUCCAACUGAGCCAACUCUAACUCAUAUUCUGCAACUAAGGCAAGUAGGAUACGAAUGGAAGUAUAUUUUACAACUGGAGAGAAAACUUCAUUGUAGUCAAUACCUUCCUUUUGAGCAAAACCUUUUGCCACGAGCCUUGCCUUGUAUCGAUGAGUUGUUUGAUUCGAAGAUCCUUGCUUUUUGGUGUAGACCCAUUUAUUGCCAAUAGCCCUUUUCCCCUUUGGUAACUUUAUAAGUUCCCAAGUCUGGUUUUGAUGGAGAGAUUUCAUCUCUUCCUCCAUGGCCUGCUUCCACUGAUCACUUUCAUUGCUGCGUAAUGCUUCACCGAAAGUAUUGGGGAUGUCAUCAUCAAUAACUGGAAGUGCAUAGGCUACCACCAUAUCUUUAGUAAGCCAUCCGGGUUUUUUUAUCUCUCUUCUUGGCCUCCUUGUUGCUAUAAAAUCAUCAGCAUCUACAUCAUCAAUUGUUUCUUCAUUUUGUGGGACAUCAGAAGAAACAACCUCUUCUUCAACUUUAGGUGUCACCUCCAUAGUUGAACCAUUCUUUGAUGUAGAACUAACUGGUACAUAUGGAGUUGCAUCAAACUCCACCCGCUGCAAUACCUCUGUGGUCUUGUUCUCCACCUGCUGAGAACUUGAAGCUUUUAUCAUUGAAGCUUCAUCAAAUGUGAUAUCUCUGCUACACAUAAACUUUUUAUCUUCGAGAUCCCAAAGCUUGAAGCCCUUUACUCCACCUUUGAAUCCCACAAAGAUAGAUUUUCUAGCACGAGGAUCCAGUUUACCAUCUUUGACAUGAUAAUAAGCUGGACACCCGAAUACACGAAGGGAAUCAUAGUCUUGUGCAUGCUUUCCAGACCACAUUUUCAUAGGAGUUUUACCUCCAAUUGCAGCAGAAGGCAACCGAUUUACCAAGUGACUUGCGUAGCUCAGAGUUUCAGCCCAAAAUUUUUUAUCUAAACCAGCAUUAGAUAACAUACAUCGUACCUUCUCCAGUAAAGUACGAUUCAUACGCUCAGCCACACCGUUCUGUUGCGGAGUAUGUCUCACCGUGAAAUGUCUUUUAAUACCCUCGUUCUGGCAUACUUGCAAGAAUAGAUCAGAAGUAUAUUUACCCCCAUUAUCAGAUCGUAAUACUUUGAUCUUUCUGCCAGUUUGAGUCUCCACUAAUUUCUUCCACUUCACGAAAAUCUCUAGAACCUCAUCCUUUGCUCGCAUGGUGUACACCCAUACACGUCUAGAGAAAUCAUCAACAAAUAUAACAAAAUAAUGGCUUCCACCAAUUGAUGCAGUCUUGGUUGGUCCCCAUACAUCACUAUGAACAUAUUCAAGGAUCUCACGAGUAUCGUGAUUAGCUGUACCAAACUUGACCCUUGUUUUCUUGCCUACUACACAAUGCUCACAGAAAUUUAAUUUACAGGUUUUGGUACCUUUUAAGAGUCCAUGCCUCAUCAGAGUUUGCAAAGACUUUUCUCCAGCAUGUCCCAAUCGUACAUGCCAUAGCUUGGUGGUGUCACUGUGCGCCUCAACAACAUUUGCUUCAUCAGUUGUACCUCCCUUCAAAUAGUACAGAUUGUGACGCCGAACCCCUUGCAGAAUCACCAUAGCCCCAUGUGUAAACUUCAUUAUACCAUCUUCAAUGGUAACCUUGUAACCUUUAGCUUCCAAAGCACCCACAGAAAUUAGAUUUUUCUUUAAAGCUGGAACAAAUCUAACCUCUUUGAGUUCUCUGACCAUUCCAUCAAACAUUUUGAGCCGAAUUGUUCCUAUCCCCAUUGUGCGACAAGGUUGAUUAUUCCCCAUCACAACUGCACCGAAUUCCAGAUUACGAAAAUCCGUAAACCAUUCCUUAAUAGGACACAAAUGAUAGGUUGCUCCAGUAUCAAGUAUCCACUCGCUCGAACUAGCCACGUAUGCUGCAGGAGUAAUACUUAGUGAAUAAUCAGAGCCCUCAUCUUUCCGUGCCAUGUUUGCUGAUGCUGGUUUCUUCCCAUCUCUCUUUUGAGCCUUUGGACAAUCUUUCCUCCAAUGGCCCUUUUCAUGACAAAAGGCACACUUGUCUCGAGCUAUAUUUCUGCUUCUCGUUUUGGAUCGAGAAUUCUUUCCACCACGCUUCUUCUGUUUCUCCAUCGCCCAAUCUCUGCUCACCAAAGCUUCAGACGAUGUUCGUUCAGAAUUUUUAUCAUUAUUCCGAAUCUCCAAACUAGUCAAUGCUGUGCAAACAUCUUUAAAGACGAUCACACUCUUCCCAUAUAUCAAAGUAGUCACAAAAUGGCUAUAUUCCUCUGGUAGUGAGUGUAACAGAAUCAUAGCCUUGACUUCAUCUUUAAUAUCUUCAUCAAGAUUUUUCAAAUCAGCAAGUAACUUUUCAAAUCUUGAAACAUGAUCGUGCAUUGACACCCCAGACUUCAUUCGAAAGCCAUAUACUUGGCUCAUUGCAUGAAGACGAUUUUCAGGACUUUUCACCAGGUACUUCUCUUCCAAUGUACGCCACAAAGUCACUGCACACUCCUCAUCUUUCACCAAGUAUUUCACCUCCUUGGUCAAACAAGAUCUGAUCUGACCACAGGCUUUCUCGUUCAUACGAUCCCAAAUUUCUUCAUCAUACAAGUGUUUUUUAUUUUUCAGGACAACAUCGAGAUCGAUUUGAAUAAGGGCAUCCAUAACUUCGCGCCUCCACAUGCCGAAGUUGAUUUUCCCAUCAAACUUUUCAACAUCGAUCUUCUGGCCUCCUAUAACAGGUGCUGAAUAGCGAUUUGACAAAUCUCGCCUCCCACCUGAAGUGUCUCCUGAAAUAGUCUCGGUAGAUCUCUCCCCAAUUCUGGAAGUUUCACCUUCUACCAUUUUUUCAACGAACUAUUUCCACUUGAAAAACAGCCUCUAUGAUGUUAAUUUCGCGUAAAUAAAUACACCAGGAAAGUUCCCAGGAAACUGGACGGGAACUCGGUCCCAAUUAAAAACCAGAAUCCUUAGACUCUUAUCGCCUUUGUUGACAGAAUUUUUCUAGACAUGCAAAAAUACACACUACUUACAAUAGACUGUCUCCCAAGUACAAAUGGCCGUCUCCACCGUAUUCGUGAACAGUACCGUAUACGGGAAUAGUACCGUAUACGGGAAUAGUACCGUAUACGGGAAUAGUACCAUAUACGUGAACAGUACCGUAUCCCCCCAAGUACGAACCGUCGGCUCUGAUACCACUUGUUGUGCGCGGAAUGCGGAAUCAAGCGCACCAAAAAAUUACUGAAAAAUAAAGGACACAAGAAUUUACGUGGUUCGGUAAUUAAACCUACAUCCACGGAGGCAAGAAAGAAUAAUUGUUUAUUUAACAAUUAAUAGAAUACAAUAUUUGAGUAACGAAUCUCACUUCCCAGAAACCCAAAUAUACCCAGUACUCUCACACUCUGCAGGAAAGAUAAAUUCCCCAGACACACUUCUCUCACUUCUCUCAAAAGCUUAGAAACUUAUAAGCUUA